rnacentral:rRNA from 1 species
CAGCAGCCGCGGGAAUACGAAGGGUGCAAGCGUUACUCGGAAUUACUGGGCGUAAAGCGUGUGUAGGUGGUUGUUUAAGUCUGUCGUGAAAGCCCUGGGCUCAACCUGGGAAUUGCGAUGGAUACUGGGCGACUAGAGUGCGGUAGAGGAUAGUGGAAUUUCCGGUGUAGCAGUGAAAUGCGUAGAUAUGCGGAGGAACACCGAUGGCGAAGGCAGCCCCCUGGGCCAACACUGACGCUCAUGCACGAAAGCGUGGGGAGCAAACAGGAUUAGAUACCCGCGUAGUCCCUGUCUCUUAUAC